CAGAGUUCAUGCCCUUCGGGGUAGACCUCCCACCCAGUGUAUUUAUACCUUUGUUGCUUUGGCAGGCCGCUAGGCUUUCGGCCCGGCUCCUGGCUCCGGCUAGGGAGUGCCUGCCAGAGGACCCCAAAACCUGAAUGUUAGUGUCGUCUGAGUACUAUACAAUAGUUA
rnacentral:misc_RNA from 1 species